GAUGAACGCUGGCGGCGUGCCUAAUACAUGCAAGUCGAGCGAACAGACGAGGAGCUUGCUCCCCUGACUUUAUCGGGGGAGGGGUGCUUACCACGUGGUUAACCUACCUAUAAGACUGGGAUACUUUCGGGAAACCGGAGCUAAUACCGGAAAAUUUAUUGACCCUCAGGGUUCAAUAGUUAAAUACGGUUUUUCUUUCACUUAUAGAUGGAUCCGCGCCGCAUUAGCUAGUUGGUAAGGUAACGGCUUACCAAGGCAACGAUGCGUACCCGACCUGAGCGGGUGAUCGGCCACACUGGAACUGAGACACGGUCCAGACUCCUACGGGAGGCAGCAGUAGGGAAUCUUCCGCAAUGGGCGAAAGCUUGACGGAGCAACGCCGCGUGAGUGAUGAAGGUCUUCGGAUCGUAAAACUCUGUUAUUAGGGAAGAACAAAUGUGUAAGUAACUAUGCACGUCUUGACGGUACCUAAUCAGAAAGCCACGGCUAACUACGUG
rnacentral:rRNA from 1 species